CUGCAGCCUGGGGAGGUUUGGGGUGGGCCGGGGAGACCCGCUGGGAAAUCUGGGCAGGCUGGGUCCUGGGGGCCCUCACUGCCUGGGCUGUGCGAGUUCACAUUUUGCUCAUGUGUUCUCGUUCGGAUCAAGUGACAGUAAAGCAGAAUGGAUCCUUCUCUCUUGGCUGGGAGAUUGAUUAACUAAAUUCAUGAACAAAGAAGAGAUCGUGGCUGUGGUAGAAGCCAAAAUCCACAAAAUCUGCAGCCCAACUAGCCUGAUGAAUGAAUUCAGCUCCCUGGUCUUCUGCUGGGAGAAGUAGCUUGUUCAGUGUGAGAACACUGGGCAGCUAUGUCUGACCCGCCUGCACUGGAACCCAGUUCUGCCAGGUUCCAGCAAGGCAUUUGGGCUCUGAGCCUCAGUGUUCUCACCUGUGAAAUGGGUAACGUUAUGCCCCAGCACUCAGUGGGUGCUCAGUCAGCUGCCUCCCCAGAUAGCGGUUGGUGUCCCUUAGGGGAUCAUGGCCUGUCAAUCCACCCAUCCAUGCCAGCCUCCAGGAGGCCACAGGCUCCAAAGUGAUUGUCGCUGUGAGAGACAGAAGCUCUACCCUGCGCGGUAUAGAAUGAGGGGGCUCGUGUAGUCUUUAGAGAACCUUUGAGGCUCCAGGGAGCAGGGAGGGGGCUUCUCGUGCCCUUCUUAGGGGGUUUUAUCAGCUUUUCCAGUUCAAACUCACACCAACUCCAGAGAGAGCAUUUAACCCACCUCCUCCACGCCUUUCAGCUUUUUAGUAAUCUGAGUCUUCCAUAAGCCCAGCCAAGAGAAGGAAUCCUCAUAAAAGAGCUCAGCUCCCGAAAUUGCCUGUUUUGGAACUGGAAAUGCAAUUUCAGCCCUAGAGCACCAGAGCAAAGAAAGCCACAGUUUACCACCAUCGAUCCCAGAAACUAAUGACUUAGCAGACUAGUCACUGAUUUUGAUUUUUAUAAUUGCUCUCCCAGGUUGUGCAUAGCACAUUCAACCCAUCCCCUGCCCGUGACAGCCCUGGACAGCAGCUGCCAGAAAUAAAUAAGACAAUACAGGCUGUUUUUCUAAAACUACUUACACACCUUGUAGAAUUAAAUACCACUCUUGUUCUGAUGCGUGGGACAGCUUUUUUGUUUCCUGGUAACCUGUCCUUUCCUGCGUCAGGGCAGGGGGACAGCUCUGCUGCUGGCCAGUGACAGUGUAUUGGAGAACCGCUGCCCUCCUAAUGUGCAGAGUCAACGUGCCUUCGUCCCCUGCUGACAGGGACAGGAGACACUCGUUAGUGGGCUUGGCCUGUCUGCUGUGCCCUUGGGUGCGUGCUCUAGAAUAAACGCUGAAAUGCUGAUCUGAAACUCCCCGUGAUUCAGCAUGACCCCUGCUCUGUGUAAUUCUUCUUGGCUUUUAUCAGCUGUGGCUCCAUCCCCAAGCUCUGCGCAGCCCUGGGCCUCCGCAUGGAAGGCACGUGGGCACAGGUGGCUUUCUUGGAUUGCUCUCAUUCUGGGUUUUGGAUCUCCUGGGCCUGGGUGUGGUAGCCGGCAGGCCUGGCCACACCCUCUCUCUCCCUCCCCCUCUCUAGGUGAGUGCUCCCCCGGCCCAGAGGGGAGUCGUGGAGACCUUGCACCCAGAGUCCCUCCUCAGGUCCAGCGGCAGUUCCAGCCAGCCGUCUCCAAUUUCCCAGCACGUGAUGGUCUCACUGGGGAGCCAGGCUUUGACGCUGCUCUGGUUUCCCCAUCUGUAAGGUGGAGACAAAGACGCCUGCCUAUCUACUUCCAGGGAUGAUGCGAAUCAAUGACAGUGGAAGUUCUUCAAAGCUGCAAAGACUUGCAUAAAUUUGAGAGGUUAUUAUUAUGUUCUUCUGUCUCCAAAGCUGGCCUUCCCCGAGGAGACAAUGCAGUGUUUUUGAACAUGCAGUGAAUUCCCCAAACUGACCCAUCCCCCUCUCCAGUAUUUCUUCCUUGGGUGGUUAAAAAUGGUAAUCUUCUCUCAGGCCUGAAAUUAUGAGCCUGCUUUAUUGGUCAAAGGCCAUAAUAAUUUGAGCUCUUAUUUUAUAAACUCAUUUCUGCACAGUGAUACCCUGAUAGGAGCAGGAAUAAUAAAUCACAAACAUGUCCCCCAAGAUUGCAUUGUAAAUGUCAAACUAGACAGUAAAUUAUAAUUAAAGAAAGGAAAUUGCUACAAAGAAGCACUUGAUGUUAAAAUGAGCCAAGCAUAGAAUUUUCUGAGCAUUUAAUUAUAGUCCAAUUUAACUGAGUUGGCUUUUACAGUCAUAUUUCUUAUUAUAACUCUUCUACAUAAUAACCAAAUCUCCCUGCUCACAUAGGGCCAGCCCAUCAGAGGGUAAGGACACUGCAUAGGUACAGGGAUUAGGAACUUUAUGAGGACAAUAAUCAUGGCAGAGGCUGAGAUGAUGGAUACAGGUGUCGGGAUUUUAAAUCAACCAUAAUCGAAUUUCCAGCCAAUAGGGGGAACAACCUAACACCUGUGCGGGAGCAGAUUUGGCCUGACUUCGAUGAGAAGUCACUCAAUGAGAAACUCACUCAGGCAUUUGCUUCUGUUGGGGGAAGAGGCCCAGGCUUCCACGAUCUGUUCCUUAGCCCCUCAAGCAUGCAUAGGAACAGCCCCCACCCAAUCCACCCACCUACAGGCCACACUUUGCCCGGGCUGUCACUUUGACUGGGCACAGUCCAACAUCCACAUCUUGCUUCUGAAUGCUGGGCAGUUUGGAUACGUAUUCAACCAGGCGUGCCGCAGGCAGAGGCCUUGGAGGCAGGAGAGCAGAGUGGCUAAGCACGUGGAACAUGGUGCCAGACAAGCUGAGGUCAACUUACUGUGAGUUGGGCUAAGUCAUAUAACCUCAAUGAGCCUCAAUUUUUUUUGUAAAAUGGGUAUAAUGAUAGACUCAUCUCAAACAUGAAUUAGUAAGUGCCUGCUACAUGGUUAACAUUCAAAACUGGAAGUGAUUAUAAUGAUUAUGGCUGAGUCUGUGCUGUGUCCAAAGAGGAAGACAGGGGAGUUGAUGGGCUAUGUUGAUUGAUGUGGGCGGCACAGCAGGUGGAGCUGAGCCAGUGCAGUGGGUGGUGGAUGUGGGAAAUGGGGGUGGUGAGGGAUGACCAGGGGCACUUUUUUGCUACCCCACAUGAUGAGGAAUGAUCAUACCACAUCAAGAAUUCUUUGCUGGCCCAGGAGUGAUCCCCAAAGUACCUGUCCCCUGGAUCUUGUCUUUCCAUCCACUUCUAGGGCCCAGAAACUGGUUAGCUUCUGGUUCAACUCCUGGUCUGUAGGGGCUGCUGCUUGCAGCUGGGAUUCUCCAUGCUGUCCUGCAGGCUUGGCCUCUUCCACAGGAGGGGGCAGAAAGACUCAGAACCAGGGGAUCUUUCUUUCUAGUGUCCUCCUCUCUCUUCAGACAAUUCAGGUUGUGGAGAUCAGACUAGGUAGAGUUAGACACCACUGGAACAGGCUGGUGUCAAAGCCCUGCUGCUAUCUCAGUGGAAACAUUGCCCAAGAAGGCACUGUGAAUGGGGGUCCAGCAGGUCUGAGUCUUGUGCUGAUUUUGCAGUUACACAAGCACCAGGGAGUGCUAUUUACACAGAUUACAUAUGAAUGCCCCCUCUUGGAAUUGUGCAGUGUACAACCUCCACAACGGAAAAUGGUUAACCUAGACUCUCGGCCCAGAGAUCAACUGGAGCUGGAUUGAUAAGGGGAUAACAGGGUCAGGUUGGACAAAUAGAACAGUUUGAAGAUUAGGACUGGAAGUGAAGAAUUGAAGAUCCUAGGAAUGCAACUAGAAACCAAGGGAGCAAAGUUCCAGAGAACUACAAAGGUGUGCCUAGAACCGUAGGUACAGGGAAGGGGAGGUGAUGGAUUCUAUCUCCUAUAUACCUCUGCUACAUGACGUUUGUCUCAUCCCUGUCCCCAAGAGAAGCAAGAAAGCAUUGAGUCAGGCACCCACCAGCCCUUCAGCGGAGGUCCCCCAUCUCAACUGGUGGUGAGUCAAAGGCAGAGGUCACAGCACAUGGGGCAGACUGUGUGUGCGUGGCUGGCUACAUAGGAUCGGAUUCCUGGGCUGUGGCCUCCUGGAGGAACGCUUCAUGGCAGAAUGCUGUGGAGGUGGUCACAGAGAGUGAGUCGGAGUCUUAUAGGCACCCGUGGGGGAAAGGCAUUCUAAGGAGGUUGGACAACCUGGGCAAACGUGGAGAAGUGUGAAAAUACUUUUUCAUUCAUUCAAAAAGUAUUUAUUGUACCAGGUACUGUUCUGGGCAGUGGGCAUACUUGAAUGUACAAAAUAGACAGCAAUCCUUGCCCUCGUGAAGUUUCCAUUCUAGUGGGAAGGGAGAGAUAACAAUGACUGCAAUAAACAAAUUAUACAAUAUGUCAGAAGGCAAUAAGUGCUAUGGAGAAAAACAAAGCAGGGAAGGGAAAUGGAGUGUUGGGCAGGAGUUGUGAUUUUGAAUAGGGUGACCAGAGACCUUCCUGGGAAGGUGAUAUUUGAGCCAAGACAUGAGGGAGGUAGAGGAGCAAGGCAAGCAGACGCACAGGAGAAGGUAUUCGAGGCAGAAGGAGGAAGCAGUGCAAAGGCCCUGAUGCACAUUCGAGGGACAGCCAUGAAGCCAUUGUGGAGUGAGGAGGGGAUGCAGUAGGAGAAGAUGGCACCAGGCUGCCCAGGGCAGGUGAUCGUAUGGACCCCAACAUGAUCAGGAUAUUUCUGACUAUGUCACUGCAAACAGACGGGAAGGGGUCAGGGGUGGAAGUGGAGAGAGUGGGAGACCAGUGUAGUGGAGUUGAGGCCGCACUGUGAGCUGCUGUUGGGGUCCGGGAGAUGCGUCCUGUGGCACACUCAGUGCUGGGCCUGACCUCGGCCAUCAGUUGGCGGUCCUGCUGCCCUAUUUCAUCCCUAAAUCUGCCCCAGGAAGGCUACGAUGUUAUUACUCUGGACCAAGAGAAUCCGAGGGCCAGCACGACGCUAACAUGCUGGUGUGGCCGUGGAAAGGACUCCACCCUGGCACCCAGGUUCCAGCCGUGUUCUUCAGAACAGCCAAAAGGUGGAAGCAACCCAAGUGUUCACCAGUGAUGAAUGGAUGAACCAAAUAUGGUCCAUACAUACAGUGGACUAUUAGUCAGCCUUAAAAAGGAAGGAGAUUCUGACGCAUGCUACCACGUGGAUGAACCUGGACACAUUGUGCUGAGUGAAUACAACAGUCACAAAAGAUCGCAUAUCAAGCCCAGGAUGAAAGAGGAACCCUCAGCCUGUCCUGCCUGCCCCAGCAAAAGCAAGUUCACGGUGACCGUGUGAUCCUCUUGGUGUGGAGAGGCUGUCACCCGGGUCUAAGCAAUGCAGCGUCCUCAGGGUGACAGGCAAGACCCAGGGCUCCAGCACGCUCCUGGUGAGCUACAAACAGGGCCACGGCCACCUGCGUGCCAGGAUCACCAUCAGGGCCUACCUGCCCCUCAAGGUUCCAGUCUCCAGCCACCUCGACCCCCUGGGGGACCUGGCCACCUAUAACCAGCAGGGCCUCCGAUUCGACAACUUCAGCUCUCUGAGCACCCACUGGGACUCCACCAGGCCGCUGCUGGCCAACAUUGAGCUUGACCACCCAUGCGGUUGGGGUCCCAGGACGAUGGGAGCGGCCGAAAGAAGCUUCUCGGUUGAAACUGCAAAUCAGGAGGAAGGGGUUGCUUCAGCAGUGGUGAUGGGGAGACAUCCAGCAUCAGUUUCCCUCUUCCUCGACUCAGG